GGGCCCGCACAAGCGGUGGAGCAUGUGGUUUAAUUCGAUGAUACGCGAGGAACCUUACCAGGGCUUAAAUGUAGUGGGACAGGUCUAGAGAUAGACCCUUCUUCGGACUCAUUACAAGGUGCUGCAUGGUUGUCGUCAGCUCGUGCCGUGAGGUGUCAGGUUAAGUCCUAUAACGAGCGCAACCCUCGUCCUAUGUUGCCAGCACGUAAUGGUGGGAACUCAUGGGAUACUGCCGGGGUCAACUCGGAGGAAGGUGGGGAUGACGUCAAAUCAUCAUGCCCCUUAUGUCUUGGGCUUCACGCAUGCUACAAUGGCCGGUACAGAGGGCUGCAAUACCGCAAGGUGGAGCGAAUCCCAAAAAGCUAUCUCAGUUCGGAUUGUCGUCUGCAACUCGACGGCAUG
rnacentral:rRNA from 1 species